rnacentral:sRNA from 1 species
UUUUUUAUAAUCCAAAGCUUGCAUGUUCAUAUUAACGAAAUUCUGCAAUGUGUGAUAAUAAAAAAGAAAUAGAUGAGUCUAAUAGCAGACCAGAAUUCUUUUGGAACCAACUCAGUUAAACCAUGAGACUAAAAUUAGAUAAAUGGAAAGAGGACCACCAAAGAAUACAAGUUUGUCUGCGAUUAAAUACAAAUUUGUGUUUGUUUAGUUGCUGGUCCUAGUUGGGAUGGUUUUUAUGAUGAGUUGACUUUCUCUUUUAAUUUUUGGUCAUUGUAGCAAAUGACAAAGAAUUAAUGUAAUAUGGGAAUGCUUAUAUAUUUACUUAUGUGAAAUUCUCUGCCCGUUCCCGGUCACCUUAUAACCGUUGAUUAUUCCUUGCACCUUGAAGGUGCCAUUUUCUCACUCCCAGCCAAAUGAUGGUUUUCGUCGGUGGUCACUUUUGCUGUACUUUCUUUAAUAAUAAUGGCAUUGUCAUUAAUCGUUCUGUUUAUCUCUAAUAAAUCGAAUAACUUGCAGAAGUCUUACCUUCUG